AGUGUGGUGGCCGAGCGGUUAAGGCAUUGGACUAAAGUUCCAAUGGACAUUAGUCCGCGUGGAUUCAAAUCCCACCAGCACUA
rnacentral:tRNA from 1 species